CCUGGACCGUGGUACAAAAAAACUGAUAGGCAUCUGCUGGCACUUGAAUUAGGGAUCUGCUGGUUGAAAGGGCAGGGUGAGGCCAUUGCACUCUAGAAUCAUGUCGAUUGUUCUCCAAUUUGUUGAUUCCGCGGACUUGCUGGCGGCUGCGCACGGAAGGCGGCGCGGGAGCAAUUCAGGCGGCUAGGUGCGAGUUAGCGGCAAUUACGUCGGCGACGGUAAACUGCAACUUCAUCGGCGACGGCCAUGGUGUUCCCUUUGGAACCAGCAAGAAGCCUGGCAAUCUAUGAGGGCGAGCUGGUGCUGCCGCAAAUGGUGAUGUAGCGGUGGAAGACAUGUGUGCAACCAUGUCGGGUCAGUGGAGGCGGAUCCCUCCGUGGCGGGCAUCCUACAAGCAGUAGCUGGUGCCGGCAACGGAGAUGGUGACAAGCAGGCUGAUUCCGCAAAGUGUACUGCGAAUCAGAAGUUCAGAGUUUAAACACGGACUGGACCAAGAGGGUAAGGGUGGCUCAAGCACCGCCUGACAUGGCACCACGUCCUUCGAGACCGAGUGCCCUUGAGAACUACAUACAUGGGUAUGUAGAGAAGCUUGGAUCCUUGCCUUGGUACAACUUUCGAUUCGCUAAGGGAGGCAAGCGGAAGGAGUUACACAAACCUGGCCGGAUCUGGAGGCGGAGCCUUGAAUCUGCUAGCUACCGCGUGGUGUCGCCGACCGUGAUGCUUCGAAUGCAAGCAAUGAGGAGGCAGCCGUGUGUGCUGGCGGCAUUCGCUCGAUGCUGGCGACAUCAAACUGGCUGUUGGCGCACUGGCAGGCGGCCGGUGCGGUGUCCGCUGCUACCGUGGAGAAGCCGAGAGGGAUUACCGUAAGGAGCAGCUUCAAUGCAGCCACGAUGCUAUGUGUUGGCGCGUUCUACUACCCAUCGUCUCCGACCCCGGGCUGUGAAGCUAGCUGACGAGCAGGUUUGCGGGAAACCAAGACAAUCAGUUUAUGUGUUUAUGUUGUCUAAGGUUAGACUCCGGCACCAUUAGGUUUACGUUUCCGGUACAGUCAGAUAUGAUAAUGUGCCUGAUGGAUUUGCUGUAACUAAAAUCCUGGGUGUAAAGUCCAGUCAUAAAAAUAAAAUCCUGGGUGUGAAGUUCAGUUGCA